ensembl:lncRNA
GUAAGUGAGGAAGGAGAGGAGGGGGAGGGGAAAGGGGAGGGGGGAGCGCGAGGGGGGAGGGCGAGGGGUGGGGGGCGUGGUGUGAGGUCGCCAAGGGGAGAGAGGAAGGAGACCGCCAAGCAGCAGGACACUGGACAAUAAGAGAGGAGAGAUUUCAUCCCUCGGAAGGCCCAGGACCAGAGGAAGCACAAAAGCUGCUUUUGUGCUGUGGAACUUUGUGGAGGGUUUUGGUUCCUUGCCGGUGGCUUGCGUCCUGUCACUCACACUCACCUCCUGGGCUGGUGAAAAGAAGCAGCCAGCCGCAUCCCCUCCAGGCGUGACAACCCCCAGGAUCCACGAACAUUGAUAAAUGCCCCCCAGGCAGGAGGGGAACUUCCCCAGGAGAACCACCAGUCCGAAACAGCGCCAUCUAAUCCAGAAACCAUCCAGGGCCCCUGAGCAAGUGAAACGUGGCUAGUCCAAAGUGGCACGUGCUGUGGGCAUAAACUGUAUCCUGGAUCUCAAGUGUUUACACGGAAAGAAAAAAAGUAAACCAGCUCAGAAAUAUUUUUAUACGAUUAUCUUACCUUUUUACUGGUU